rnacentral:rRNA from 1 species
UACCAGCACCCCGAGUGGUCGGGACGAUUAUUGGGCCUAAAGCAUCCGUAGCCGGUUCUACAAGUCUUCCGUUAAAUCCAGCUGCUUAACAGAUGGGCUGCGGAGGAUACUAUAAGACUAGGAGGCAGGAGAGGCAAGCGGUACUCAGUGGGUAGGGGUAAAAUCCGUUGAUCCAUUGAAGACCACCAGUGGCGAAGGCGGCUUGCCAGAAUGCGCUUGACGGUGAGGGAUGAAAGCUGGGGGAGCAAACCGG